rnacentral:rRNA from 1 species
GAUGAACGCUGGCGGCGUGCCUAAUACAUGCAAGUCGAGCGAACGGACGAGAAGCUUGCUUCUCUGAUGUUAGCGGCGGACGGGUGAGUAACACGUGGAUAACCUACCUAUAAGACUGGGAUAACUUCGGGAAACCGGAGCUAAUACCGGAUAAUAUUUUGAACCGCAUGGUUCAAAAGUGAAAGACGGUCUUGCUGUCACUUAUAGAUGGAUCCGCGCUGCAUUAGCUAGUUGGUAAGGUAACGGCUUACCAAGGCAACGAUGCAUAGCCGACCUGAGAGGGUGAUCGGCCACACUGGAACUGAGACACGGUCCAGACUCCUACGGGAGGCAGCAGUAGGGAAUCUUCCGCAAUGGGCGAAAGCCUGACGGAGCAACGCCGCGUGAGUGAUGAAGGUCUUCGGAUCGUAAAACUCUGUUAUUAGGGAAGAACAUAUGUGUAAGUAACUGUGCACAUCUUGACGGUACCUAAUCAGAAAGCCACGGCUAACUACGUGCCAGCAGCCGCGGUAAUACGUANGUGGCAAGCGUUAUCCGGAAUUAUUGGGCGUAAAGCGCGCGUAGGCGGUUUUUUAAGUCUGAUGUGAAAGCCCACGGCUCAACCGUGGAGGGUCAUUGGAAACUGGAAAACUUGAGUGCAGAAGAGGAAAGUGGAAUUCCAUGUGUAGCGGUGAAAUGCGCAGAGAUAUGGAGGAACACCAGUGGCGAAGGCGACUUUCUGGUCUGUAACUGACGCUGAUGUGCGAAAGCGUGGGGAUCAAACAGGAUUAGAUACCCUGGUAGUCCACGCCGUAAACGAUGAGUGCUAAGUGUUAGGGGGUUUCCGCCCCUUAGUGCUGCAGCUAACGCAUUAAGCACUCCGCCUGGGGAGUACGACCGCAAGGUUGAAACUCAAAGGAAUUGACGGGGACCCGCACAAGCGGUGGAGCAUGUGGUUUAAUUCGAAGCAACGCGAAGAACCUUACCAAAUCUUGACAUCCUUUGACAACUCUAGAGAUAGAGCCUUCCCCUUCGGGGGACAAAGUGACAGGUGGUGCAUGGUUGUCGUCAGCUCGUGUCGUGAGAUGUUGGGUUAAGUCCCGCAACGAGCGCAACCCUUAAGCUUAGUUGCCAUCAUUAAGUUGGGCACUCUAAGUUGACUGCCGGUGACAAACCGGAGGAAGGUGGGGAUGACGUCAAAUCAUCAUGCCCCUUAUGAUUUGGGCUACACACGUGCUACAAUGGACAAUACAAAGGGCAGCGAAACCGCGAGGUCAAGCAAAUCCCAUAAAGUUGUUCUCAGUUCGGAUUGUAAUCUGCAACUCGACUACAUGAAGCUGGAAUCGCUAGUAAUCGUAGAUCAGCAUGCUACGGUGAAUACGUUCCCGGGUCU